CUGCGAGUUCGCGGGAGAGUAGGUUAUUGCCAGGGUUUUUAUUUUUAUACUUUAAACUUUGAUUUUAUUUUUAUGUUUUUUAAAUAUUGGUGUUUUUGAAUGUGUUGUUUAAAUAACAUAAAAAAUAAAAUAUAUAUAUUGGCAUGCAUUAAACAAAGAUAUAUAUUAUUUUAUGUUGUAUAAAUAAAUUGGCAAAAUGGAGAUGGAAGAUAAAAAUAUGGUCAAAGUAAUAAGAGUCUAUGGUGAAUGCCUAGGA
rnacentral:misc_RNA from 1 species